rnacentral:rRNA from 1 species
CGGGGUGCACCAGGCGCGAAAACUUUACAAUGCUGGCAACAGCGAUAAGGGGACCUCGAGUGCCAGGAUACAAUCUUGGCUGUCGCGAUGCCUAAAAAGCAUUGCAUAGCAAGGGCCGGGCAAGACCGGUGCCAGCCGCCGCGGUAACACCGGCGGCUCGAGUGGUAACCGCUAUUAUUGGGUCUAAAGGGUCUGUAGCCGGCCGGAUAAGUCUUUUGGGAAAUCCAGCUGCUCAACAGUUGGGCUUUCAGAAGAUACUGUUCGGCUCGAGACCGGGAGAGGUGAGAGGUACUUCAGGGGUAGGGGUGAAAUCUUGUAAUCCUUGAAGGACCACCAGUGGCGAAGGCGUCUCACCAGAACGGAUCUGACGGCAAGGGACGAAAGCUAGGGGCACGAACCGGAUUAGAUACCCGGGUAGUCCUAGCCGUAAACGAUACUCGCUAGGUGUCAGCCACGGUGCGACCGUGGUUGGUGCCGUAGGGAAGCCGUGAAGCGAGCCACCUGGGAAGUACGGCCGCAAGGCUGAAACUUAAAGGAAUUGGCGGGGGAGCACAAGGGCGA